UCCUAGGGGCGCAGCAGUGAGGAAUAUUGGUCAAUGGCCGGAAGGCUGAACCAGCCAAGCCGCGUGAAGGACGAAGGUGCCAAGCAUUGUAAACUUCUUUUGUCAAGGGACAAAAUCAGGCUCGAGAGCCUGACCGAGGGUACUUGAAGAAAAAGCAUCGGCUAACUCCGUGCCAGCAGCCGCGGUAAUACGUAGGGUGCAAGCGUUAUCCGGAUUUAUUGGGCGUAAAGGGCUCGUAGGCGGUUCGUCGCGUCCGGUGUGAAAGUCCAUCGCUUAACGGUGGAUCCGCGCCGGG
rnacentral:rRNA from 1 species